rnacentral:rRNA from 1 species
UGGGGAAUAUUGGACAAUGGGCGGAAGCCUGAUCCAGCAACGCCGCGUGAGGGAUGACGGCCUUCGGGUUGUAAACCUCUUUCAGUACCGACGAAGCGAAAGUGACGGUAGGUACAGAAGAAGCACCGGCCAACUACGUGCCAGCAGCCGCGGUAAUACGUAGGGUGCGAGCGUUGUCCGGAAUUAUUGGGCGUAAAGGGCUCGUAGGCGGUUUGUCGCGUCGGGAGUGAAACACCGGGCUUAACUCGGUGCUUGCUUUCGAUACGGGCAGACUAGAGGUAUUCAGGGGAGAACGGAAUUCCUGGUGUAGCGGUGAAAUGCGCAGAUAUCAGGAGGACACCGGUGCGAAGGCGGUUCUCUGGGAAUAGUCCUGACGCUGAGGAGCGAAAGUGUGGGGAGCGAACAGGAUUAGAUACCCUGGUAGUCCACGACCGUAAACGUUGGGACGCUAGGUGUGGGGUCCGAUUCCACGGA